rnacentral:rRNA from 1 species
UACGUAGGGUGCGAGCGUUAAUCGGAAUUACUGGGCGUAAAGCGUGCGCAGGCGGUUCGUUGUGUCGGCGGUGAAAGCCCCGGGCUUAACCUGGGAAUGGCCGUUGAAACUGGCGAACUGGAGUGUGGCAGAGGGGGGUGGAAUUCCGCGUGUAGCAGUGAAAUGCGUAGAGAUGCGGAGGAACACCGAUGGCAAAGGCAGCCCCCUGGGCUAACACUGACGCUCAGGCACGAAAGCGUGGGGAGCAAACAGG